rnacentral:lncRNA from 10 species
CCUGAGCUGGCGAAGAUGCCCUCCUUUAGAGGAGCGUGCAGACUUGAUAAGGGAAACAGAUGGGCCAACAGAUAAUUCCCAGCAGAGGUGUGUUCAAACAUGAGCCCUGGGGACUAGGUACUAAGCAGAUGGAGGAACAGAGAUGCUGAAGAGAGGGCAACUGUUUACUGCAAUUUUGAUAAAAUUCCCUUUCAAUACGGCCUGUUCCUGGAUAGAGUCCCACCUUUCAUCUGCUUUUAUUCCUAAUCCUGUGGCAAAGCCUGGACCUCCCUUUUCUUCUCAUACAAGCUCGACAGAGCUGGCAUUUUCCUUCUCCAUUUCAGUGACAUGUUUUUCAGUGUUUUGUCUGUUUGUGAAGGGGCAGAAAUGUCAAGGUCAAAAAAGUCUUGGAAAAAAUGAGUAGUAUUUCUGUACCUGCUGAGGGUUAGGUGCUUGGAUGUUAUAUAUCUCUGCAUUCCCACAGUAAAACCAUGUGUGGUUGGGGAGCUUUUCCUUUUUUAACCUCUCUGGGUGGUUGAGGAAUUGGAGGCUCAGAGAGGAGAAGUGACACAGCCCAAGGUGACGCCACCAGGAGCUGAACUUGAAAGCCAAGCCAAGUCCGUCUGACCAUCAAGCGUUGCUCCUAUAAUCAUACUACCUUGCCUUCUGCCUUUGUAAACAUGAGGUGACACAUCAAGCUAGGGCUAUUAAAAUACCCAGAAGCACUUUUCUUCCAAAUAACUCACAAUAUCUUGUCUUUGGGAAGUAUUCAAUAGGUUUAUUUCAGUAAAAGAUACACCAUUGCCAUGGUUUUAGGGAGUGAUUCUGAAUUUUAUGUUACUGAUUAAGAAAGAUGGUUAAUGGAACCUGUUUCCUUAAGAAAUUUACAUCAUAUAUUAGUAAGCUGUUGCUGUGUAGCAAAUCACACCAACACUUAGUGCCUUGAAGUAACAACAUGUAUUAUCUCACAAUUUCUGUAGGUGUGAAAACUGGACAUCAUUUAGCUGGGUCCUGUGCUUCAGGGUAUCUCACAGGCAGCACACAAGGCUUCAUCUGGGCUAUACUCAUCAGAAGGCUGGAUUGGGGAAGAUCUGCUUCCAAGUUUACUUACAUGGUUGUUGGUGGGAUUCAGUUCCUGGUAGGCUGCCAGCUUUAGCUCCUCAUUUCCUGAUGGCUGGAGGGUUCCCUCAGUUCCUUUCCAUGUGGGCCUCUCCAGCAUGGCUGCUUGCUUCAUCAAAGUGUACAAGAAGGGAGACAGCAAUAGGAACAUGUCAGCAAGAUGGAAUCCACAGUCUUUUUAAAGCUAACCAUGGAAGUGAUAUUCCAUCACUUUUGGUGUAUUCUGUUUGUUAGGAACAAGACACUAGGUCCAGCCCACCACUCAAGGUAUGGGAUUACACACGGCAUGAAUACUAUGGGGUGGGGAUCACUGGAAAUUAUGUCAGCAGCUAUCUGUCACACAUGAGAGAAGUGGAGAUGGUAGUCAUAAUAAUAGUCAUCAUCAUCAUAAUAAUAAGGCUGGUGAGGAUAGCCAGCAUUUAUUGGGUGUUCUUGAUGCAUCAGGCACUGGGCUAAAUCCCUUCUAUGCAUUGUCUCCUUUAAUCUCCUCAUCACUCUCAUUAACUUCCCUGAGUUACUACAGCAAAGAGAUUAGGACCAGACUCUGUUGUUUCCACUCCGAAGUCCAUCCCUUUACAUGAUGCAGAUCAUUGAUAAGAAUCCACUGAGCUGCUGAGGCUCCAGGAAAGACCUGAUUGAGAGAGGAGUCUGAUAAACGAAGCUGAACUCACUGCUCCUCAGAAAACUGCAAAUGAACACAACCAGAAGCCAUUUCUUACCCAUCAGAUUGGAAAAGAAAAUGCCUUUGGGAAGCCUGUCCCCACAUCUUCUCUGAGACCUGGAAUCUGGACCUUAUGUUGAGGCUGGGCACCCACAUCUGGGAUGUGAUUCCUUUCUGCCCUCACCCCAUCAUUCUCUCUCUCCAGUUUCCCUGCGAUUUCCUCUUGGCCAUAGCCUGGUGUAAGUUCCAGCAUUUUUGUAUCGCUGUUCUAGCAGAUUUUCAUUUUAGUGCCAAUCCAAGCGCUCUAUCCCUUCCUUGAACUCUUAGUUAGGCCAAUAAAUAUUUAUGUAGCUCAUUGGCAAUUAAUUAGGUGCCUUUGGCACUGCAUCCAAUGGCUUGUAAAUCGACAUAGAGAUUUCACUUCCCCCAUCUUUGCUUCUUGGCUUUCCAGCAGAAAGACAAGCUAAGAGCGGACAGGGAACGUGAUUUCUACUUCUCUGUAUAUGCGUACCCUACACGUAGUAGCAUGCAAUGAAUAUUUAUGGCCUUAUAAAUUUAAUCGGCAUAUGAUUACUUAACAAUAAAGUGAGAACUUUUCCAGAGAGAAAAGACAUCAUCUUGGCUGGGCUCGAUGGAGGGUAGGCUAUGAGGAGCAUUGAUUACACUGAUUUAAAGUGAGGGCUCUGAGGCCAGACAGGUUAGAAUCCUGGCUCCCCACUUACUGAGCAUGUGAUGGUAACCGUGAUGCAAUCUCUCUGUGCCUCAGUUUCUACCUCAUAAUCUAGAAAAAGCAACAGCACUUGACCAAACCCUAAAAUAGCGAUGAGGGACGCAUCCUCUAAACGUCAGCUAUCACGAUUUUAUUAUUUCUUCCAAAUAAGCCUUAUGUUCUUAAGAAAUACACAUGCAGACACACAGGUAGUCUUUACCACAUCCAGUUUUUGUCUAGAGUAUCAGAUUCUUAUCUUUAAAACAUGAAUAACCUGAAUGGUUGUGGCUUUUUUCUCCUCAUUAUACACCUUAAAGGAAGAAAAAAGGAGCUGAUCAAAACCAAUAAAAAAAUACAAACAAAAGAAAAAUCUGGAAUAAACCAAUGUAAGCAAAAUAGGAGAACCUGAGGGAGUAUGAGGAAGGUUGCCCAAUAUGCCCAUGAAGUAAAAGAGAGAUGGGGGAGAUGGCCACCAAUUAAAAUUAAUUAAACAUUUUUAAUGAUCUCUGAUGCUGACCUCAUGCUCCAGGUGCCUGAAACAAAGAAAAGAAAUGCAGAUAAUUGGAUCUUCAUGACAUUUUCCCAACUGGCCACUUUCCCUGUAACAAGACCAAGCCUGUCUCUUCCAUUGUACUCUCGUGAGCUACCUGGGUCAGAACCUGAAAUCUUGGCGCAGAAGUCCUGUGGCCUGCCUAUAAACUUCUCAUUCCCGGCAGCUGGCACAUGCAUGGCCCAAUAAAUAUUUCUUGAUUGAAUGGAAGGAGCUGUGAAUAGUGGCCUCCUCAAGCAAAGGACAUUUUAUCUCCCAAAGGGAAAUCUACUUUGUUGAUAUGAAAGUGAGCUUCUUAAUAGGUCUACGGGGCAACAUUUUGCUAACCCCAUUCAAAUUAUAACAGACUUCAAAGUCAUAAAGGCAGUAAUAUGCUUCCUUUUAAGUGUGUAAUUUGUAUUUUUUUACACCCAGGAAUGGAAAACAGGGAGUGAAAUAUCCCCCAAUUAUUAUUUUGUGCUUUUGAGGCAGGAUGGCCCACUCACCUGUGGGGACUCUGGUGGCCAAGCACCUCCCACCUCAUUCUUGGCAAUUGUUUUCAUCUGCCUCCCUUCACACUGGCCCUAGCUCAGGUCUGGAAUCUUCCCAGGGUCUGACCUCUGAGUGUCUGUCUCAUGCAAUUCUGCUGCCCUGGUAUUGACUCUCAGGACACAGAAGUAUACUCUCUGCCACAUUCAUGACCACCCUGGGUGACGUGUCAAGGCAUCUUAGUGCAGCCCUGAGUCCCUUGGAGGGAAAUGGCCCCAGUCUGCUUCCUGUUUGAGGUAGCUCUGUUCUGGAUCACUUGGUCCUCCCCUCUCCCUCCUGCCACUGCUGAUUGCAUUGUGGUGAUCACCCCAAGGUCAUCCCAAAGGCAGGCUGCCGUGUAGAGCCUGGCUUGGCACAGGAGGCCCCAGCCAAUGAUCUCUGAUGCUGACCUCAUGCUCCAGGUGCCUGAAACAAAGAAAAGAAAUGCAGAUAAUUGGAUCUUCAUGACAAUUUCCCAACUGGCCACUUUCCCUGUAACAAGACCAAGCCUGUCUCUUCCAUAUGGGUCAGCCAUAUCCCACCCACUCCUCCUGGGAUUUGACUUGGGGAAUGUGGACAGAAUCACACAGUCAGUAGAAGUUGGAAAGUAGGCGGAAGUGGCCACAUGGGGUAGGGACAUAUCAGAGUUAUGAUGAAUCAGAAGCAGAAGCCCCAAGUUGAAGAAGAGAUACAAAGCUUGGAAGCAGGAAGAGAUGGAGCGGACACACAAAGGAAUCCAACACUGGAGAACGGCAACGUAAAGGUGGCGUGCUAGGGGAAAGCUCCAGAAUUCCUGCAGCUGGGCGCUGGAGCCACCCUGAACUUUCAAAGACCUCCCUAUUCCAGUCUCCACAAUCCCAGGUCCUGGUAUGUCCCUGGAUUUGGGGGGAGAUUCUGGCUCCUUUGUAGCACCACAAUAAACCCUUAUUGCCUGAGUUAUCCCAAGUGACUCCCUGUUCUUUAUGGGCUCACAAGCCAACACACC